GCGGGCGUGGUUGCGUGUGCCUGUAGUCCCAGCUACUCGCGAGGCUGACGGGGGAGGAUCGCUUGAGCCCAGGAGUUCUGGGCUGUAGUGCGCUAUGCCGAUCGGGUGUCCUAAGUUCGGCAUCAAUAUGGUGACCUCCCGGGAGCGGGGGACCACCAGGUUGCUUAAGGAGGGGUGAACCGGCCCAGGUCAGAAACAGAGCAGGUCAAAACUCCUGUGCUGAUCAGUAGUGGGAUCACGCCUGUGAAUAGCCACUGCACCAGGCUGGGCAACAUAGCGAGACCCCAUCUCUA
ensembl:misc_RNA Metazoa_SRP Metazoan signal recognition particle RNA